ACACAACGACUCUCGACAACGGAUAUCUCGGCUCUCGCAUCGAUGAAGAACGUAGCGAAAUGCGAUACUUGGUGUGAAUUGCAGAAUCCCGUGAACCAUCGAGUCUUUGAACGCAAGUUGCGCCCGAAGCCACUAGGCUGAGGGCACGCCUGCCUGGGUGUCACGC
rnacentral:rRNA from 1 species